GUGUUCUAAUAAUCUAAUAUGAAGUUUUCGCGUGUACGACCCACAUAUCGGGCUCCACGCCCGCAUUGUAGUAAAUAAACUACAAACGUCGAAGAGCACUGGAUAUGUUUCUUAAUUUGAUAAAGUUUUUUAGUAUGGGCCCCAUUUCUUUUUUGAUGUUUGCAUGUGGAACAAUGUCCACAGCAAAAAAAGCCCUGUAGAGGUUGAAGAUAUAAACCGGAUGUAGGUGG